AUUAUCAACCACACAGCAAGUAACUUAGCAACCAUAUAGUAACAGCCUAGUAACCACCUUAGCAACUACAUAGAAACAGAGGCGGAGUUUGACUUUUAUGCAUGGGGGGGCACCCACUGGCAGACGAGCCAGCAGCAGAUUUGUAUUAUUUAUUUAUUUUUUUUUUUUUAUAGGCCUGUUCUAUAGUCAUGUAUUUACACCGGUUACAUUACUUACCUGCCACGGCACCGACCACCACCAACGUUUUUAUUUAUUUAUUUAUUUAUUUUGUUUAUAGUAAUAAAAUAUGAUUUAGUUCAGUGGAGAACAGACACUACAAAUAAAACUGUGCGGAGUGCUGAACGACAGUCGCAUCGCAUUGCAGAUCAGAUUUUAUUUUACAGCCUGCAGAGUGACGAGCUGACCGACAAGAAGAGUGAGGUCAGGCGAAACAGACAAGACGAUGGUGAAAGUUUUGGUGAAAUUUUUUAUUUUGAAAACCUGUUGACUUUUGCCGUUUAUCUAUGGUGGUUUUCCAACUUUUUUGAACAUUCCUUUCUUAUUUAUUUGGUUGUACAGUGUUUGCUGAUUUUUACUUUGUGUAAUUUUUUUUCUUAUUCGUUUUGCUAAUAAACGUUCUACGUUUCUUAUAGCUAUUUAUUUGGUUCCACGGUGUUUACCGAUUUUCAGUUUUGUAUACUAGGUUAUUUAAAAUUUAUGUAGGCCUAUAGCCUAAGUUGUUUGUUAUUUUAUAUUAAGCAUAUAGCAUGGUGUAAGCUAUUUUUAUUCAUUUUGUUAAUAAAAGUUCCAUAACUAAUGAGUUUAACGUUGUAUUUUGUUGUUGCUUGAAUGGGAUUCAAGCAAUUUACGCCGAAUUGCCGCUAAUUUAAAAGUGAAAGUAAAAUGUGCACUGCGCAUUUACAAGCUGUUUAAAAGCGAAGGAAAGUGAGUGAAACAAGGGAAAUUGAUGAUAUGUGCCAUUGUAGUUCGGAGCCAGUUUCCUACUUUCCUCAUAACUGAGAAACUUGUUUUUGAUGUAGCCAAACAGUUAACUUGCAAAAGCGGGAAAAUAACGAAAAGAGAGUCCUCUCUAUCAAGACAAGUUGAGAAUCAUGAGUCGCGACUCGCAAGGAUAUGUGGCUUAAAUUGAAUUUAACCGAAACGUACUUAUUCUACCCACUAAAAUAAUAAGAUAAUAUAAAUAAAAUGAAAAAAAUAUGAAUUAUUUGAUUUUUCAUAGCUCAGACAAAAUCAUGAUUGGCUCUCGUCUGGGGGGGCAGUGCCCCCCCUCCCCCCAGCCCCCCCUAAACUCCGCCUAUGCAUAGAAACACUCUAGAAACCACCCAGAACAUCCUAGACAAUACAUAGUAACACCCCAGAAACCACAUUGAGUGUCUUAGCAACUGCAUAGCAACCACCCAAGUACCUUGGCAACUACAUGGCAACUCCCUAGUAACCACCCUGAGUACAUUAGCAACUGCAUAGCAACAGUUGAUUGACUGUCUGAAUGUGUGUGUGUGUGUGUUUUCUAGUGUGGAUCAUGGAGGAGAAUCCAGGAUUACAGCAGGACUAAAGAAAUGGGUUUUUUUUCUCACACUGGAUCCAAACACAGCACACAAUGAACUCAUUCUGUCUGAGGACAACAGAAACGUGACACGUGUGAGAGAGAAUCAGUCGUAUCCUGAUCAUCCAGACAGAUUUGAUGUGUUUUCUCAGGUGUUGUGUAGAGAGAGUGUGUGUGGACGCUGUUACUGGGAGAUUGAGUGCAGUGGAGAUUAUUUUGUGUGUAUAUCAGUGUCAUAUAAGAGCAUCAGCAGGAAGGGAGACGGUGAUGAGUGUGUGUUUGGAUCUAAUGAUCAGUCCUGGAGUUUGAUCUGCUCUCCUGACAGUUACUCAUUCAUACACAAUAACAUACAUGAUCUCUCUUUGAAGUCCAUCAGUCAUAGAGUAGGAGUGUAUGAUCAUUAUAUCAGUAGAAUAGGAGUGUAUGUGGAUGUGAGUGCAGGAACUCUGUCCUUCUACAGCGUCUCCAGAAACACAAUGAGUCUCAUCCACACAGAACAGACCACAUUCACUCAGCCACUCUAUCCUGGGUUUAAUGUUUAUUAUGGAUCAUCAGUGAAACUGUGUUGAUGAAUUAGAAUAGACUAAUUCUACACUGAGAUUCUACACAUAAUGCUUUGAGCUGAUGAUGAAUCAGUAAGAGUGAGAUGUUAUUGAGUCUCUUCAUGACAUUAAUACUGCAGCUCAACUUCUGUCACUCAAAUAACAGAAUAAAUGUGUCAGAAAUCACCAAAUAGACAGUAACAUCAGUGUGUGUAUAUUUGUUUUUAUUGUUGUCUCAUCAAUCAUUUAUUUUAUUACAAAGUAUAAAAAUGUCACAAUCAUGAUUGAUGAAGAACAUGUAAUUAAUUUCUCUAUUUUUUUGUACAGAAAUAAUAAAACACAAUGAAAAAUCAA